rnacentral:misc_RNA from 1 species
GGUUAGCAUAACAAACCAAGAAAGUCCAUACACCAGUAAAUUUCUGCUGCCGUGAGCUAUAUCAAGGUGAUAGACAAUUCCAUACUGGAAAAUGAAAAAGCGGAAGGCAAGGAUAAUGUCAAUCACUCUACCCCUUAGAUUUGUGUGUUUUAGAUGUUCCUGCUCCCCAUUCCACCAAGAUUCCCAACUUUUAUCCGGUGAAAUCCCAAUGCCUCCACGAUUUCCCAUCCACCUCUUCCAAUCUGUCCAAUCAUCUACUGUCUUUUGCCAGUCGAAACCAGACGGAUUGAACACAAAGGGAGCAAACAACCAGGAACCUACCAAGAACCAAAUUGAAAUAGUAACAAACAAGUAUAACUGUGAUUCACGAUAUGAUUCCCCAUAGACUUCAUAGACAAUUAACAGCAUAAACAGCUCAAGCCCCUUGACA